CAGGCCUAACGCAUGCAGUCGACGGUAACGUUUCAAAGCUUGCUUUUAAUGAUGACGAGCGGCGGACGGGUGAGUAAUGCCUGGGAAUAUGCCUUGAUGUGGGGGAUAACCAUUGGAAACGAUGGCUAAUGCCGCAUAAUGCUACGGGCCAAAGAGAGGGAUCUUCGGACCUCUCGCGUCAAGGUUAGCCCAGGUGGGAUUAGCUAGUUGGUGAGGUAAUGGCUCACCAAGGCGACGAUCCCUAGCUGGUCUGAUAGGAUGAUCAGCCACACUGGAACUGAGACACGGUCCAGACUCCUACGGGAGGCAGCAGUGGGGAAUGUUGCUACAAUGGGCGCAAGCCUGAUGCAGCCAUGCCGCGUGUGUGAAGAAGGCCUUCGGGUUGUAAAGCACUUUCAGUCGUGAGGAAGGUAGUUGCGUUAAUAGCGUAAUUAUUUGACUGUUAGCGACAGACAGAGAGCGCCGGCUAACUCCGUCGCCUAGCAGCCGCGGUAAUGCGGAGGGUGCGAGCGUUAAUCGGA
rnacentral:rRNA from 1 species